rnacentral:rRNA from 1 species
AGUGAACGCUGGCGGUAGGCCUAACACAUGCAAGUCGAACGGCAGCACAGUAAGAGCUUGCUCUUACGGGUGGCGAGUGGCGGACGGGUGAGGCAUACAUCGGAAUCUACUUUUUCGUGGGGGAUAACGUAGGGAAACUUACGCUAAUACCGCAUACGACCUACGGGUGAAAGCAGGAGAUCUUCGGACCUUGCGCGAUUGAAUGAGCCGAUGUCGGAUUAGCUAGUUGGCGGGGUAAAGGCCCACCAAGGCGACGAUCCGUAGCUGGUCUGAGAGGAUGAUCAGCCACACUGGAACUGAGACACGGUCCAGACUCCUACGGGAGGCAGCAGUGGGGAAUAUUGGACAAUGGGCGCAAGCCUGAUCCAGCCAUACCGCGUGGGUGAAGAAGGCCUUCGGGUUGUAAAGCCCUUUUGUCGGGAAAGAAAAGAAGCAGGUUAAUACCCCGCUGUUCUGACGGUACCCAAAGAAUAAGCACCGGCUAACUUCGUG